rnacentral:lncRNA from 1 species
GCUGGUUCCCUUAUGGUAAAGGAGCAUUGAUCCAAGCUUUUAUUCGAAAUCUUAGAUAUGUAGCUUUCCCUCCUGCAAGUUAGCUUUGUCACCACCGUAAAGGAUCAAAAAGGAUUCAGGCUUUGACUCGAAAUCUUUCAUAUACGGUUUUGCCUCCUGCAAGUUAGCUUUGUCACCACCGUAAAAGGGCAAAACGGAUUCAGGCUUUGACUCGAAAUCUUUCAUAUGCGGUUUUGCCUCCUGCAAGUUAGCUUUGUCACCACCGUAAAGGAUCAAAAAGGAUUCAGGCUUUGACUCGAAAUCUUUCAUAUACGGUUUUGCCUCCUGCAAGUUAGCUUUGUCACCACCGUAAAAGAGCAAAACGGAUUCAGGCUUUGACUCGAAAUCUUUCAUAUGCGGUUUUGCCUCCUGCAAGUUAGCUUUGUCACCACGGUAAAGGAUUAAAACGGAUUCAGGCUUUGACUCAAAAUCUUUCAUAUACGGUUUUGCCUCCUGCAAGUUAGCUUUGUCACCACCGUAAAAGAGCAAAACGGAUUCAGACUUUGACUCGAAAUCUUUCAUUUGCGGUUUC